rnacentral:rRNA from 1 species
GACGAACGCUGGCGGCGUGCCUAAUACAUGCAAGUAGAACGCUGAAGAGAGGAGCUUGCUCUUCUUGGAUGAGUUGCGAACGGGUGAGUAACGCGUAGGUAACCUGCCUUGUAGCGGGGGAUAACUAUUGGAAACGAUAGCUAAUACCGCAUAACAAUGGAUGACACAUGUCAUUUAUUUGAAAGGGGCAAUUGCUCCACUACAAGAUGGACCUGCGUUGUAUUAGCUAGUAGGAGAGGUAACGGCUCACCUAGGCGACGAUACAUAGCCGACCUGAGAGGGUGAUCGGCCACACUGGGACUGAGACACGGCCCAGACUCCUACGGGAGGCAGCAGUAGGGAAUCUUCGGCAAUGGGGGCAACCCUGACCGAGCAACGCCGCGUGAGUGAAGAAGGUUUUCGGAUCGUAAAGCUCUGUUGUAAGUCAAGAACGAGUGUGAGAGUGGAAAGUUCACACUGUGACGGUAGCUUACCAGAAAGGGACGGCUAACUACGUGCCAGCAGCCGCGGUAAUACGUAGGUCCCGAGCGUUGUCCGGAUUUAUUGGGCGUAAAGCGAGCGCAGGCGGUUUGAUAAGUCUGAAGUUAAAGGCUGUGGCUCAACCAUAGUUCGCUUUGGAAACUGUCAAACUUGAGUGCAGAAGGGGAGAGUGGAAUUCCAUGUGUAGCGGUGAAAUGCGUAGAUAUAUGGAGGAACACCGGUGGCGAAAGCGGCUCUCUGGUCUGUAACUGACGCUGAGGCUCGAAAGCGUGGGGAGCGAACAGG